CGGGCCGUUAACACAUAGCAAGUCGAACGAAGCGACCUGAACGGAGUUACUUUCGGACUUUGAAGUUCUUGUUGACUGAGUGGCGAACGGGUUGAGUAACGACGUGGGUAACCGUAGCCUACAUACAGGGGAGUAACAGUUAGAAAUGACUGCUAAUACCGCAUAAGACGCACAGCUUCGCAUGAAGCAGUGUGAAAAACUCCGGUGGUAUGAGAUGGACCCGCGUCAGAUUAGCUAGUUGGCAGGGUAACGGCCUACCAAGGCGACGAUCUGUAGCCGACCUGAGAGGGUGACCGGCCACAUUGGGACUGAGACACGGCCCAAACUCCUACGGGAGGCAGCAGUGGAGAAUAUUGCACAAUGGGGGAAACCCUGAUAGCAGCGACGCCGACGUGAGCGAAGAAGUAUUUUCGGUAUGUAAAGCUCUAAUCAGCAGGGAAGAUAAUGACGGUACCUGACUAAGAAGCUCCGGCUAAAUACGUGCCAGCAGACCGCGGUAAUACGUAUGGAGCAAGCGUUAUCC
rnacentral:rRNA from 1 species